rnacentral:rRNA from 1 species
GUAGGGAAGAAGCGAAAGUGACGGUACCUGCAGAAAAAGCACCGGCUAACUACGUGCCAGCAGCCGCGGUAAUACGUAGGGUGCAAGCGUUGUCCGGAAUUAUUGGGCGUAAAGAGCUCGUAGGCGGUUUGUCGCGUCUGCUGUGAAAUCCCGAGGCUCAACCUCGGGCUUGCAGUGGGUACGGGCAGACUAGAGUGCGGUAGGGGAGAUUGGAAUUCCUGGUGUAGCGGUGGAAUGCGCAGAUAUCAGGAGGAACACCGAUGGCGAAGGCAGAUCUCUGGGCCGUAACUGACGCUGAGGAGCGAAAGCAUGGGGAGCGAACAGGAUUAGAUACCCUGGUAGUCCAUGCCGUAAACGUUGGGCGCUAGAUGUAGGGACCUUUCCACGGUUUCUGUGUCGUAGCUAACGCAUUAAGCGCCCCGCCUGGGGAGUACGGCCGCAAGGCUAAAACUCAAAGGAAUUGACGGGGGCCCGCACAAGCGGCGGAGCAUGCGGAUUAAUUCGAUGCAACGCGAAGAACCUUACCAAGGCUUGACAUACACCGGAAACGGCCAGAGAUGGUCGCCCCCUUGUGGUCGGUGUACAGGUGGUGCAUGGUUGUCGUCA